rnacentral:rRNA from 1 species
UACGUAGGGGGCAAGCGUUAUCCGGAAUUACUGGGUGUAAAGGGUGAGUAGGCGGUCAGAUAAGCCACAUGUGAAAUCCCAAGGCUUAACCAUGGGACUGCAUGAGGAACUGUAGGACUAGAGUACAGGAGAGGUAAGCGGAAUUCCUAGUGUAGCGGUGAAAUGCGUAGAUAUUAGGAAGAACACCAGUGGCGAAGGCGGCUUACUGGACUGAAACUGACGCUGAGUCACGAAAGCGUGGGGAGCAAACAGG